rnacentral:rRNA from 1 species
GACGAACGCUGGCGGCGUGCUUAACACAUGCAAGUCGAACGGAAAGGCCCCUUUGGGGGUACUUGAGUGGCGAACGGGUGAGUAAGAAGUGAGUAACCUGCCUUUGCUUUAGGGAUAACUACCGGAAACUGGGGCUAAUACCGGAUAGGAAUCCUUGCUGCCUGGAGGGGGUUGGAAAGCUUCGGUGGGUUUGGAUGGACUCGCGGCUUAUCAGCUUGUUGGUGGGGUAGUGGGUUACCAAGGAUUUGACGGGUAGCCGGCCUGGGGGGGCGACCGGCCACAUUGGGACUUGGGUACGGCCCAAGCUCCUUCGGGGGGCAACAGUGGGGAAUAUUUCACAAUGGGCGGGAGCCUGAUGCAACAACGGCGCGUGCGGGAUGACGGCCUUCGGGUUGUAAACCGCUUUCAGCAGGUGCGGAGCUGUUAGUGACGGUACCUGCUGAAGAAGCACCGGCUAACUACGUG